ensembl:lncRNA
GCAUUUACGCGGUAACUCCCUAGCACAUGCAGGCGAGUUGAAGAUUGGGAUGUAUUGAGACCACAACAGAAUUCCUCCCUCAGCAUUAAUAGUGUGAGAAGAAAAACUCUCAAGAAAGAUUGUCACAUAAUCAUCAAGGAGUUUAUUUAAAAGUCACAAUUACAUUUUGGUGAAAUCGUUAACUUUAUCAUAAACUCUUGGAAUGUGAUGCACUUUUUGGGACAUGAAAGUAGGAAAUGUAGCAAAAUAAUAUGUUUCUACAUUGCUCAGUUGAUAGUGCAUGGCGCUUGAAAUGCCAGGAUGCUGGGCAGGAAUCAUUACUGAAAAUACCUCUGUUGGAGUGUCUGCUAGAGUACUUGAAUGUAAAUGUCUUUAUUCCUUCUGUGAGAGGCCAGGUCAGACCAGAAGAAGGUUCUCCCCAUGCCUUGGCAGCAUGAUAGUCCACCCUCCACAAUGUCUCCUGCAAUUGGAAGUUCCGGUUUUCAGGAAAACGGAUAGAGAGCCUGUGGAAAAAGAUUUCUGCCUUUGGAUGUUAAAAGGGUGGCACUCCUUAUUUGCUCGUCGUCCACGUUCACUGGAUGGUUUGCGCAGAAGAGAACCCAACCCAUAAUGGAAAAACAUUACGUGAAGGAUCUCAUUUCAGGCGUUUCUUUGAACACUUGCUAGACUAGGUUAACCACAGGCAGAGUAGCAUGGUGGGGGAUGGGCAUUAAGUCAGAGAGUGCAACAAAUGAUCUGUACCUAGUGGACUCUGAUACUAGAUCUGUACCUAAAGGAAACUGACCCUAGAUCUGUACCUAGCGGAAACUGAUCCUAGAUCUGUACCUAGCGGAAUCUGAUCCUAGAUCUGUACUUAGCGGAAACUGACCCUAGAUCUGUAUCUAAUAGAAACAUCACCCAAGAGCUCCAUUGUCCAUUGUGAAAAACGUCCAUCCUGUGUAUCCAACAAGUGUAUGCGUGCCCAAAUGAAUAUGAAUAAAGGACAGCAGCUCCUGGGCCGGGCCCAAUGCCCAUCAGUGAAUGGCUCCUUUGCAACAGUCAGGUGUGUCCUGAUCUUCUCAUUGUGCCAGCAGUUUUGUACAGAGGAACAGGUUGUGUAGAGGGCUCAUCUGAUUGCAAUCUCAAGUACUGUGUUAUACAAAACAGGGAUAUACAAAUCCAAUUCUAGUGGUACUGCUGAUUUUCUGUUUUAGCUGGUAAUCAAAUGCACCUACAUUUGAUUACCUACAUUUGAUUUCAGUCCCUUAUGAAAUAGAACAAACAAUGAAAAAAAGAACUGAAAAUAAUCAGCGGAACUUGCUUUGAGGUCCAGAUUCUUAAGCACUUCCCAAUGGGCCAGUUCUCACAUGCCCACGUCCCAGGGAGAACAGAAUUAUCCAAUCCAGUAUCAGAUGCUGUUUUCACCCUGUGAACACUAUACCACCUAGUCAAACACUGAAGUUAAGUAAUUGGAUAGAAGCUAAAGAUUUUCUCUGGUCCAGUUUAGCAGUUAAGGACUUGAGAUCUCAGGGCUCAGGAAGAUCUUUGGGGGGGGGGGGGGGGGGGGGGGGAGUAAAGGUCACAUCACAUAACUUGUAAUCCCUCCUUGUCACUGUCCACACACUCACCCUAAGCAUGUAACCACCCCCGCACACACACUUCCAUUCACGGACAGAGAUAACAACAAUCUACACAUUUCAGAAAGAAAAAGACAUCUACAUAGAAACCCUGACUCAAACCACAAAACAGGCCUUUUCCUCCAGAAUGCAAUCAACCCAAUUUCCCAAGAUGCUUUACAAAGUUUCACCCAACAACUGAAUACCUAACCGUAGUCACCUAGACGGCCGCAUCGCCCUGCCUCAUCCCAAGCACCUCAUCCACCCAGUCCCUUUUUCCUCACCCUAUCCUCUGGGCACAGAUCAACCUCUACAUCUGGCUGAUAUCUGGUCAACUAGCAUGAAUUCAAAGUGACAUCGACAGGUCUUACCACACCAUUGUAUUUAGGUUAACAGUUCGUAGCGAGUAGGGUUUCCCCCGCUCCCAUUUCACCCACUCCCCCAGAAUCCUUCUCAGAGCUGCUUGCUGAGUUUACGAGCCUGUCUUUCCUUGGCGUCAAAUGCAAACUUGGUGUCCUGUAGUUGUUCUAUAAUCUCCCUGGCCUCUUUCAUCUCUUGGGCCAGCUGAUUGUAUUUCUCCAGCAGCUCCUGGUUCUCCCUGCGGAGUUCCACCACCAGUUGGUUCAGUUCUUCACUCUGCUUCCCGCAGUGGAUCUUCAAGGACUCCAUCUCAGUCAGGGUCACCUCCAUGCGCUUCACCAGACCCUCUAGCUUGUCCUUUGACAUCUUGACUUUGAUCUCAGUCAAGUCAGGUUGUGCUUCCUGUAAAGCUUCUUGUCAAGCUUGUUGACGAUCUUCUUGUCGAAGCUUCUUUAACUCAGUGCUCAAGAGCUUCGCUAGGUCGUCGCUUGUUUGGUUGGCCCAAGAGAGACCAAUGUCAUGGGAAACAGCAGUAAGCCAGGCUUCUUGAUCUCUCCCUGUUUGGCCUGCGGAUAUGCGGAUGGUCGCUUGGUUUGUCCAAGAAAGACAACAGCGGGAAAGGUGUUUAGCGUCACUAAUCCCUCUCUUGGCCAAUUAAUAUCUGUGCUGGCUGGUCACCUGUUCUCUGUCCUGUUCCUUGUGACUAAAGCCUAAUCUAUUCCCUGAAUGUUUCAGAUGAGCUGUUCUCUCCUCACUGUCCUCCUACCACCCUAACCAUCCAUGCCUAAUCUUGUUAGUGAGAGGUAUCUUGAGCCAUGACACAUGCAGAGAUACAGUCUCACACACUCCACACCUACACACACCUAAACCAGGUUAAACUGUAGAAAUACAGUGCAAUCCAUAAUUAACAAGGAUCGUUUUCAUCUUUUGGCUCUUUACUCUGAAAGUUUUCUCUGGUGACGGCUGAAUAC